rnacentral:rRNA from 1 species
UACGAAGGGGGCUAGCGUUGUUCGGAUUUACUGGGCGUAAAGCGCACGUAGGCGGAUCAUUAAGUCGGGGGUGAAAUCCUGGAGCUCAACUCCAGAACUGCCCUCGAUACUGGUGAUCUUGAGUCCGGAAGAGGUGAGUGGAACUCCUAGUGUAGAGGUGGAAUUCGUAGAUAUUAGGAAGAACACCAGUGGCGAAGGCGGCUCACUGGUCCGGUACUGACGCUGAGGUGCGAAAGCGUGGGGAGCAAACAGG